rnacentral:rRNA from 1 species
ACGUAGGGUGCGAGCGUUAAUCGGAAUUACUGGGCGUAAAGCGUGCGCAGGCGGUUUUGUAAGUCGGAUGUGAAAUCCCCGGGCUCAACCUGGGAACUGCGUUCGAAACUGCAAGGCUAGAGUGUGUCAGAGGGGGGUAGAAUUCCACGUGUAGCAGUGAAAUGCGUAGAGAUGUGGAGGAAUACCAAUGGCGAAGGCAGCCCCCUGGGAUAACACUGACGCUCAUGCACGAAAGCGUGGGGAGCAAACAGGAUUAGAUACCCUGGUAGUCCACGCCCUAAACGAUGUCAACUGGUUGUUGGGUCUUCACUGACUCAGUAACGAAGCUAACGCGUGAAGUUGACCGCCUGGGGAGUACGGCCGCAAGGUUG